rnacentral:lncRNA from 1 species
GACGGCUUCAGCAUGAAUGCACCACGGGAUCUCGAACAACUCACCAAAGCACGAAAGCCAGUUAGAAAAUGGAUUCUGGGGGGCAGUGGAGGGGAGGAGAUUUUUUUCUCCAAGGCCGAGCUGUGGAGUAAAAAUAGGGGCAAACGACACAGUUGAGGCUAAUUUAUCCUCCUCUAAUGCCUAUUGCGUAUCGGCUAGGUGUUGUUUAGAGUUGUAAAACUGAAUAUUUACUCCUCUAAACGAUAAUAGGGGACCAACUAGAAAUAAUAUGUCUUAUUCUUGC